CACCCCCAGUGUGCCCUUGGCCACCUGGAGCUGCUCCUGUGUCACCUGGAGUGACAACGACACCUGGGUGUCACCUGGGGCUCAGCCCUGUCACCCCCAGCCCCCACCUGCACGCUCCUGUGUCACCUGGGGCACCACAGUGACACCUGGGGGUCACCUGUGACGUCACCUGUGUCACCUGGGGACACCUGUGUCACCUGUGACAUCACCUGUGUCACCUGGGGACACCUGUUUUACCUGGGUGUCACCUGUGUCAUCCCCAGCCCCCACCUGCACGCUCCCGUGUCACCUGGGGGUCACCUGUGUCACCUGGGGGUGGCACUGCCACCUGGGGACUCACCUGAGAGCACCUGGGCCACCCCAGGGACAUUCCAAGUGUCCCCAGGAGGGAACGGAACGGGGACAAGGGACAGCUCCGGGGUCUCCAGGUGUCCCAGGUGUCCCCAGGUGUGUCCCCAGGUGUCCCCAGGUGUCCCUGUCCCUCACCUGGCUCCGUUUGUCCCCCUCCAGGCUGGCCUUGAUGUGGGCGUCGUACUCCUGGAACAGGUGAUGGUAGGCGGCCUGCAGCUGCACCAGCUUCCUCCUGAAAGGGACAGUGGGGACAGUGGGGACACUGGGGACAUUGGGGACACUGGGGACAGUGGGGACAGUGGGGACACUGGGGACAUUGGGGACAUUGGGGACACUGGGGACAUUGGGGACACUGAGGGGACAUUGGGGACACGGGGGACAUUGGGGACAUUGGGGACAUUGGGGACAUUGGGGACAUUGGGGACACUGAGGGGACAUUGGGGACAUUGGGGACACUGAGGGGACAUUGGGGACAGGGACUGGAGACACUGACUGGGGACAUUGGGGACAUUGGGGACACUGAGGGGGCACUGGGGACAUUGGGGACACUGAGGACAGGGACUGGAGACACUGACUGGGGACACUGGGGACGUCAUCAGGGACAGGUGGCUUCUGCCUUGGGGACACUGCGAGUGCCACCGCCUCCCCUCACAGGGACAGAUGGCCCUGAGUGCCACCAGCUCCCACUGGGACACUGGGGACAGUGAGGGGACACUGGGGACACCAAUGGGUGUCCCCAGGUGCCACC
rnacentral:lncRNA from 1 species